UGGGGAAUAUUGCGCAAUGGGCGAAAGCCUGACGCAGCGACGCCGCGUGAGGGAUGAAGGUUUUCGGAUCGUAAACCUCUGUCAGAAGGGAAGAAACCGCACUGUGCUAAUCAGCAGUGCCUUGACGGUACCUUCAAAGGAAGCACCGGCUAACUCCGUGCCAGCAGCCGCGGUAAUACGGAGGGUGCAAGCGUUAAUCGGAAUUACUGGGCGUAAAGCGCACGUAGGCUGCUUUGUAAGUCAGGGGUGAAAUCCUACGGCUCAACCGUGGAACUGCCUUUGAUACUGCUUAGCUUGAUUCCGGGGGAGGGUGGCGGAAUUCCAGGUGUAGGAGUGAAAUCGGUAGAUAGCUGGAGGAACAUCAGUGGCGAGGGCGGCCACCUGGACCGGUAUUGACGCUAAGGUGCGAAAGCGUGGGGAGCAAACAGG
rnacentral:rRNA from 1 species